rnacentral:rRNA from 1 species
CAGCAGCCGCGGUAAUACGUAGGGUUCAAGCGUUAAUCGGAAUUACUGGGCGUAAAGCGUGCGCAGGCGGUUUGUUAAGACAGAUGUGAAAUCCCCGGGCUUAACCUGGGAACUGCAUUUGUGACUGGCAAGCUAGAGUAUGGCAGAGGGGGGUGGAAUUCCGCGUGUAGCAGUGAAAUGCGUAGAUAUGCGGAGGAACACCGAUGGCGAAGGCAGCCCCCUGGGCCAAUACUGACGCUCAUGCACGAAAGCGUGGGGAGCAAACAGGAUUAGAUACCCCGGUAGUCCCUGUCUCUUAUAC